UGCUGAGGCAGGUGUUGAAUGCAAAUGAGUUUGUGGCUGGCUUUUAUGAUGGGUCUCUUCUUUUAACGUGCCGAAUAAAUUACAAGAUAGGAAAUGAGGCCUAGUAAAUCUCUAGUUUCAUUUUGUUUUUGUUUUAUUACUUUGAUGAUCUUUUUGGCAAAUUUCCAUUUUUAAUUCCUUUUCAUUUGAAUGGGGAGGUUAAAUACUGAUUUGCUGCCUGUAAUUUUUGAUAUUAUUGUUAUGUUUUUUUAUAUUAUCACUGAUCUCCUGUAUCAUUUGGUUUACAUGGCAUACUUAGGCUGUUGUUUUGUUCCUUGAUUUUUAUAAUUAUAUGUUUUCUGAUGGUUUCCCUUGAAUAUUUGUUAUGUAACUAAUGGUUUGGAUGGCAGUAUCACAUUUGUAAUUCCUACUGCUCCUUGUUCAAACUGUUGAGGAGAAUAAAUGGUAGGUAUUCCUGUUCUCUUCAGAAAAUCUAUCCUGUUUUCGUAUUCUUUAAAGUUAUUCAAGUUAUGUGCACAUUUCAUAAAGUAAAAAGUUAUUUUCAGCUAAAGUAUACUAAUUAGCUUCUUGGAGUUGAUGGGACUACACACGUCUAUAUACCGUAUUGAAUUGUGAUUAACAGUGACGUAUACCUUUUGUAUGGAUGUACUCUGUGUUUUCUUACAAUAUUGUAUUGAUGGAUAGGGCGGCAUGAUUACAUUUUUCUUUCUUUUGUCUUUAAAAUGCUUGAUAUCUUGUAGUUCAGUUCAGGUUAGAUGCUAGUUGUUUAACUUGUUAAUAAGAUUUGGUAGAUACAUUUAUCUUUCCUCUGCAAAGGGGACAUGCCAUAAUCAAGAUGAAUUUGUUGGUUGUUGCCUUCUUUGAUUAAGAAAUUGCAUUAUUUUGUCCACAAUUGAGUUAUAACCUUGUAUUACUUUGUUCCAGACUACUGGUUGAAGAUGAUGAGAAGGAAAUGUUCAUCAGAAGCUUUGAUUUGAAAGUAAGUUUUUAGGGAAAGUCAAGCUGAGGAACUUGAACAGGUCAUGGGAAAAACAUAAGCAUCUAGCUAAUAGUUUUCAACUUCUUAUUGCUACUAAUUGAUGAUGUGAAGAACACUCCUUGUUUCAUGCGAACCAUGAAUGGAUGGAUCUUUUCUAUUUUGGUGGGAGUUUCUAGUAGCCGGUAUGAUUUAUAGACUUGUGGAGUUUUUAAAGUGGACUUGAGGCUAGAGAAUAGAUCUUGUCAUUGCAUUGCAUCUUGGGGCUUAGCACAUAGCUUCCAUCCUCUGUCCUUUUUUAGGCUGUGAUUAAUUAUAAUCUGAAAAUUUCUCUGGCAAAUAAUUCUCACCCUCAAAAUUUGAAUUUAAAUAUUCUAUGGCCUUCAGUGCUUAAUCUCCCAUAAGAUAUUGAUAUUUAUUUUCUAUGUUUAUCACUGCUUAGGGCUUAACUGUGAAGUUGGUGAAGCCUUGAAGUUGAAGGUGACUACUGACUUGGGUGAGGCUAAAGCUUCUCGCACCCACGAAUUGGGCUUCACCCUUUUCAGAACUGGGAUUUGGGCUUAAUCUGGUUAGGCCCACUGCCUUUUUUUAAAGAAGAAAAUCCAAUAAACGCGGCUUUCCCUUUUUUUUAAAAAAAAAAAA
rnacentral:misc_RNA from 1 species